rnacentral:misc_RNA from 1 species
AGUUUAAGUACAAUUUAACAGAGGCGCUUAUGUUUUUAGCCCAUUUUAUUGGGGAUGUUCAUCAGCCCCUGCAUGUUGGUUUCACUGGCGAUUUGGGUGGAAAUACAAUAACAGUCCGUUGGUAUCGUAGGAAGACAAAUCUACACCAUGUAUGGGAUGACAUGAUUAUUGAUUCAGCCCUGAAGACAUUCUAUGGUUCAGAUCUUGCAAACAUGAUACGAGCAAUUCAGAAUAAUAUGACAGAAGGAUGGUCCAAUCAACUGCCAUUAUGG